GUAUGUCCAGUCUUUUUUAGUAGCCACUUAGUCACAAACACUGGCCAAAUUGGCAUUCAAAUUAGUUUUUUUGCAUUUUUCACACACACAAAUAUUAACUUUGGCCAGUGUUUGUGACUGAGUGGCUACUAAAAAAAAAGACUGGACAUACCCCAUU